GUUUUUUCUGAAGCAGACAUCGAUACAUUUUUAAACAAUGCCCCGAUAGAAUAUCUUCCUCAAAAGGUUGCUUUAAUUAUUGGCAUUUCCGGAGCCUGUAGGUGCGAUGAACUUUUAAAAAUGAAAAUAAGUGACCUGGAUAUUUUAGAAAA
rnacentral:lncRNA from 1 species